rnacentral:rRNA from 1 species
UACAGAGGGUGCGAGCGUUAAUCGGAAUUACUGGGCGUAAAGCGCGCGUAGGCGGCUUUGCAAGUCGGAUGUGAAAUCCCCAGGCUUAACCUGGGAACUGCAUUCGAGACUGCAUUGCUAGAGUAUGGGAGAGGGAAGUGGAAUUUCCGGUGUAGCGGUGAAAUGCGUAGAUAUCGGAAGGAACAUCAGUGGCGAAAGCGACUUCCUGGACCAGUACCGACGUUCAGGCACGAAAGCGUGGGGAGCAAACAGG